UGGAUAUAACAUUUCUAAUUUUUUUCCUUUUAAGUUUUACAUUUUAAAAGGGUUUUUAGAGAUAUGUGACUUUCCUAUUUUAUAUGUUCUUAGCUUUGCUUUCCCUGAGCACAGAAUCUGAACAGAGACUGCGGGCAGGCACAUAACCAGAAGAAAGAACAUCAUCUACUCUCUUACAAGCCACAGGAUUUCUGGGCUCAGAGCUGCUGGAGACCUCAUUCAGACACAGAUGCCACUGUAGCAGUUUCUCCUUGGCUCCUAGGUGGUACACAUCAGAACUAGCUGAACAGUCAUUAAAAAGCAAUAAAGUCUGCCAUUUCACACACACUCCAUCAUGGCAUUCUGCCUUUCUAUUCAGUCAAGAACAGAGGACUCAAAUAACUGCUGAUGGAAACUUCUGACACUGAGAGCUAUAAUAAGUCUCUUUACUUUUAAAGCACUUCAACUCCAGCAGUUUUCCAUGGUGAGUAGAAGCAGAUUAGCAGAUUAAACUUUAAAUUCUUGGGUGAAAGGAAGAUGCCUUUGACCAUCU
rnacentral:lncRNA from 1 species